rnacentral:misc_RNA from 1 species
AGGGGUUUGAAAAAGAAUAGUGGCUGAAAUGCCGGAGAAUAAGGCAUCAACACCUUCAGCCUGUACAAUGAAGAUGCCGAAAGAGAAUGAGAUUAAAGGCAAAGCAAAGUGUGGUUUGUAGAUUUGGUGGUGAGGAUUCGGCAAGCUCGGGCAUGUACAAUGGAUUUGCUUCUAUUGUUGCUGCCUGCUCCGCUCAUCCUCUCAGUCUGAUUAAGGUACAUGCUAAACGAGAAAGAGAGAGGAAGAUAGAAGAGGAAGCCAAUCGAAGACUCACAGUAACAACCCCACCAACGAAGGUUGUGUGCUUGCUUUAGUGCUUAAUUCAUUCAAAGGAGAAGAGAAAUGCUUCCUGAUGAGAUCCGCUUGAUACUGAGAUUGAAAAGAAAUGGGGUAAUGUUUGAGUUGGGAUGAAUUAUUGGGU